rnacentral:rRNA from 1 species
GGGUGAUAGCCCCGUAACCGACGCUUCAUCGAGCGUGAAAUCGAGUAGGGCGGGACACGUGAUAUCCUGUCUGAAUAUGGGGGGACCAUCCUCCAAGGCUAAAUACUCCUGACUGACCGAUAGUGAACCAGUACCGUGAGGGAAAGGCGAAAAGAACCCCUGUGAGGGGAGUGAAAUAGAACCUGAAACCGUGUACGUACAAGCAGUAGGAGCACCUUCGUGGUGUGACUGCGUACCUUUUGUAUAAUGGGUCAGCGACUUAUAUUCAGUGGCAAGGUUAACCGUAUAGGGGAGCCGUAGCGAAAGCGAGUCUUAACUGGGCGCUCAGUCUCUGGAUAUAGACCCGAAACCGGGUGAUCUAGCCAUGGGCAGGUUGAAGGUUGAGUAACAUCAACUGGAGGACCGAACCGACUAAUGUUGAAAAAUUAGCGGAUGACUUGUGGCUAGGGGUGAAAGGCCAAUCAAACUCGGAGAUAGCUGGUUCUCCCCGAAAGCUAUUUAGGUAGCGCCUCGGACGAAUACUACUGGGGGUAGAGCACUGUUAAGGCUAGGGGGUCAUCCCGACUUACCAACCCUUUGCAAACUCCGAAUACCAGUAAGUACUAUCCGGGAGACACACGGCGGGUGCUAACGUCCGUCGUGGAGAGGGAAACAACCCAGACCGCCAGCUAAGGUCCCAAAGUAUUGCUAAGUGGGAAACGAUGUGGGAAGGCUCAGACAGCUAGGAUGUUGGCUUAGAAGCAGCCAUCAUUUAAAGAAAGCGUAAUAGC